rnacentral:rRNA from 1 species
AGCGAACGCUGGCGGCAGGCUUAACACAUGCAAGUCGAGCGGGCACUUUCGGGUGUCAGCGGCGGACGGGUGAGUAACGCGUGGGAACGUGCCCUCUGGUUCGGAAUAACUCAGGGAAACUUGAGCUAAUACCGGAUACGCCCUUUUGGGGAAAGGCUUGCUGCCGGAGGAUCGGCCCGCGUCUGAUUAGCUAGUUGGUGAGGUAACGGCUCACCAAGGCGACGAUCAGUAGCUGGUCUGAGAGGAUGAUCAGCCACACUGGGACUGAGACACGGCCCAGACUCCUACGGGAGGCAGCAGUGGGGAAUAUUGGACAAUGGGCGCAAGCCUGAUCCAGCCAUGCCGCGUGAGUGAUGAAGGCCUUAGGGUUGUAAAGCUCUUUUAUCCGGGACGAUGAUGACGGUACCGGAGGAAUAAGCCCCGGCUAACUUCGUG